rnacentral:rRNA from 1 species
AUACGGAGGAUGCAAGCGUUAUCCGGAUUUAUUGGGUUUAAAGGGUGCGUAGGCGGGACUGUAAGUCAGGGGUGAAAUACUGCAGCUUAACUGUAGCAUUGCCUUUGAAACUGCCGUUCUUGAGUACAGUUGAGGGAGGCGGAAUGUGGUGUGUAGCGGUGAAAUGCAUAGAUAUACCACAGAACACCAAUCGCGAAGGCAGCAUACGAGGCAUCAUCUGACGCUGAUGCACGAAAGCGUGGGGAUCAAACAGGAUUAGAUACCCUGGUAGUCCACGCUGUAAACUAUGAUAACUAUCUUUUAGCGAUACACAGUUAGAGGGUACGAGAAAUCAUUAAGUUAUCCACCUGGGGAUUACGUUCGCAAGAUUGAAACUCAAAUGAAUUGACGGGG